UAGAUUAAAGCCAGUUGAUUAGGGCACUUAGCUGUUAACUAGGUUUUUGUGGGUUUGAAUCCCAUUAAUCUAG
rnacentral:tRNA from 1 species